UACGUAGGGUGCAAGCGUUGUCCGGAAUUAUUGGGCGUAAAGGGCUCGUAGGCGGUUUGUCGCGUCGGGAGUGAAAACGCCGUGCUUAACACGGCGCUUGCUUUCGAUACGGGCAGACUAGAGGUAUGCAGGGGAGAACGGAAUUCCUGGUGUAGCGGUGAAAUGCGCAGAUAUCAGGAGGAACACCGGUGGCGAAGGCGGAUCUCUGGGCCUGUUCUGACGCUGAGGCGCGAAAGCUAGGGGAGCGAACAGG
rnacentral:rRNA from 1 species